AGGAAUUCCAUGGACUCAAAAAACAUGCUGAACCAAGAGGUUAGAAGUUUCCAGAGUGAGGAGUUUCGCAAGGCUAAAAUUGGCCAGAUUUAAAGAAGGUAGACAGUUGUCAAUAUUACUUACCUCUGGACACCAGAAGGCAGUAACGAAGUCCAAGGCGAUGUGUGGCCAAAGUCUACCCUGGAUGUGUAGCGAUUGCAGCAGACUUGCUGGAGUUUGAAGAAAGGACGUGCCCCGACCACAGACAGUACACACUGCCACAGUGUCUUUACCCAGAGUUAACCACUAGAAGUUGGAACCAAGGAGGGAAAUGGUAAUGUUCAUUCCCGGGUGGCAGGGAGGCUGGGAGGAAUGUCCCCACUGCAAAACCUGGGAACAGGUUUCAGGAGCCAGGGUGGCUGAGGCUGCCGGGAUACAGAAACAUGACCCAUCCAGGGCCUCCUCACCUAGUAGCCAUCAGCAGGAGGGUCCCCCUACAUGGGCCUGGUCCUGCUCAAUGAGAAUGAGGAGAAUCAAGCCUUCUUCUACAACUACCCAAUCCCAACAUCAACCAGGUGGCAACAUCCUCACCAAGCUGGAACAUCGGAAAUCCUGGACUGCUCCUGUAGUAGUGCCCACUGAGAGCAUCAUGCCUUGCUCCUACAUCAUCCAGAUGCAGCAGGGGUCAACACUCAGGCCGAGUCAGCGCCACCUCCAGUCACAUUACCUCUCUCACCUGUUGGAAAGGACAUCUAUCAAGAGACAGGUAAUGCCAGUGUCAGUGUGCAGGUUGGUACAAGGUCUGAAUGGAUGCCAAAGGCAUUAAUCAGAGUGGACUUGGGAGUUAACCUGAUGUCACAAUCAUUUGGGGGAAGAAGGGAGAAGAGUUGCAGGUGGUAAAUUUAAAUCACAAG
rnacentral:lncRNA from 1 species